rnacentral:rRNA from 2 species
UCGAUCUCAAAUCAGGUAGGACUACCCGCUGAACUUAA